rnacentral:piRNA from 1 species
UGAAAGGUAAACGUAAGAAUCCUACUAACA